rnacentral:lncRNA from 13 species
GAAGUGAAGCCAGUUUCUACAGUUAGAAGUGAAGCCAGUUUCUACUGUUAGAAGUGAAGCCAGUUUCUACAUUAGAAGUGAAGCCAGUUUCUACAGUUAGAAGUGAAGCCAGUUUCUACAGUUAGAAGUUAAACCAGUUUCGACAGUUAGAAGUGAAGCCAGUUUCUACAGUUAGAAGUUAAACCAGUUUCUACAGUUAGAAGUUAAACCAGUUUCUACAGUUAGAAGUGAAGCCAGUUUCUACAGUUAGAAGUGAACUGUUGUUCUACUAUGUUUGUAGUGAGCUGAUUACACAAUACACAUUGAGGGACAAUCAGUGGUAGUGUG